rnacentral:lncRNA from 1 species
AUCACCAAUGAUUAUGAUAGGGUUUUUCGUAUUGUUUUGAUGAGAUUGAGAUGUUUGUUAGGAUUAUGAGGAUCUCACAAUAAUAAAGUUGGUGCCAAUGUAACACUAGAAAAAUGAUUGGAUUGGAUUCCUUUAAUACAUAGAAGAUGACAUUUUAUGUUCUUUAGGAUAUAAGUAUAUAUUUAAUUAAUUUUGAUGUUCAAUACAUAUCUUUCUAAAUUAAUUAAUUUCAAGGUUCGUUACUCACUAAAUGUUUGAUUGAUUUAUAUAAUUGAGGAUUUACUUAAUAUAAAUAUUUAGCUUACAAUAUUUAAUAGAAACCCCGGGUUCAUAAUCACUUUAUGAUUGUAUAAACAAAAUACAAAGGGUAAAAAAAUACGUACUGCUGAAAAAUUGUCAUAUUUUCCUUUUUUUUUUCUAUCUUUUAUGAGGAUUUUUCUAUCUGAUCUAUCAAAUGUACAGAACAAUUGAUUUCUGAUAUAGGUUAAUCUUUUGAAGGUUACCUUUCUCUAACUUGUUUAUUUUGUCACUCUAUUCAUCUGUGUUUCCUCUUAUUUUCAAUUUUAUUCUUGCAUCACCAAUGAUUAUGAUAGGGUUUUUCGUAUU